AUAAUGGUGGUUCAGUGGUAGGAUUCUUGCCUUCCAUGCAGGAGACCUGGGCUCCACUCCCAGCCAAUGCC
rnacentral:tRNA from 1 species